ACAACCAUAUCACGUUGAAACACUGGUUCUCGUAUGAUCACCGAAGUUAAGCCACAUCGAUCCUGGUGUUAGUACCUAGAUGGGUGACCAUUUGGAAAUACUAGGUGAUGUAA